GCCAUCUGCUCUUGAAUAAAGAGGGACAUUUCUGUACCCUGCAGGCUGUAUAAGAGAUGAAGCAUGGCAUGGCAAAAGCAAGAGAAAGAUUCAUCUUCCAAGAAUGUUUCACAGUCUAUCCUUAGAGCCAUAUGGUGCUCCAAAACAAAAAGUAUUAAUGGAAGCUUACGGCUUUUCUCCAAUAUGCAGUGACUAAAUUCCUCCUCGCUCAACUUAUACCUGUAUAAUUUUAUGAAGAUAUUCUUCAAAGUUAUAGGACAGGCUGGUAAAGCUCUCAUGUGCCUCAUCUUUUCCGAGGAACUUUUCUCCAGUCCUACUUCCUGGCCACUAUAAAGACCCAAACACAGUCCCUCAGUUUUGCUCAAACCAGCCUGGAUCUGCUUGUGCCCUCCCAGUUCUCCCUGAAGCCUCUUGUAAAUUAAAACAUUCAACAUUAGUGCACUGCAGCAGAUAUAUGAAACAAAAUGUAUUUCUUCAUCUAGAAGUCCAACUUCAAUAAACGAAUAUUAUAGAAAUGACCUAAAGACA